CUUAUCCUUAGGAGUCAGACUGCGAGUGAUAAGAUCCGUAGUCAAAAGGGAAACAGCCCAGACCGCCAGCUAAGGUCCCAAAGUGUGUAUUAAGUGGAAAAGGAUGUGGAGUUACUUAGACAACUAGGAUGUUGGCUUAGAAGCAGCCACCAUUUAAAGAGUGCGUAAUAGCUCACUAGUCGAGUGACUCUGCGCCGAAAAUGUACCGGGGCUAAAUACACCACCGAAGCUGCGGAUUGAUACCAAUGGUAUCAGUGGUAGGGGAGCGUUCUAAGGACAGUGAAGUCAGACCGGAAGGACUGGUGGAGUGCUUAGAAGUGAGAAUGCCGGUAUGAGUAGCGAAAGACGGGUGAGAAUCCCGUCCACCGAAUGCCUAAGGUUUCCUGAGGAAGGCUCGUCCGCUCAGGGUUAGUCAGGACCUAAGCCGAGGCCGACAGGCGUAGGCGAUGGACAACAGGUUGAUAUUCCUGUACCACCUCUUUAUCGUUUGAGCAAUGGAGGGACGCAGAAGGAUAGAAGAAGCGUGCGAUUGGUUGUGCACGUCCAAGCAGUUAGGCUGAUAAGUAGGCAAAUCCGCUUAUCGUAAAGGCUGAGCUGUGAUGGGGAAGCUCCUUAUGGAGCGAAGUCUUUGAUUCCCCGCUGCCAAGAAAAGCUUCUAGCGAGAUAAAAGGUGCCUGUACCGCAAACCGACACAGGUAGGCGAGGAGAGAAUCCUAAGGUGUGCGAGAGAACUCUGGUUAAGGAACUCGGCAAAAUGACCCCGUAACUUCGGGAGAAGGGGUGCUUUCUUAACGGAAAGCCGCAGUGAAUAGGCCCAAGCGACUGUUUAGCAAAAACACAGCUCUCUGCGAAGCCGUAAGGCGAAGUAUAGGGGGUGACACCUGCCCGGUGCUGGAAGGUUAAGGAGAGGGGUUAGCGUAAGCGAAGCUCUGAACUGAAGCCCCAGUAAACGGCGGCCGUAACUAUAACGGUCCUAAGGUAGCGAAAUUCCUUGUCGGGUAAGUUCCGACCCGCACGAAAGGUGUAACGAUUUGGGCACUGUCUCAACCAGAGACUCGGUGAAAUUAUAGUACCUGUGAAGAUGCAGGUUACCCGCGACAGGACGGAAAGACCCCGUGGAGCUUUACUGUAGCCUGAUAUUGAAUUUUGGUACAGUUUGUACAGGAUAGGCGGGAGCCAUUGAAACCGGAGCGCUAGCUUCGGUGGAGGCGCUGGUGGGAUACCGCCCUGACUGUAUUGAAAUUCUAACCUACGGGUCUUAUCGACCCGGGAGACAGUGUCAGGUGGGCAGUUUGACUGGGGCGGUCGCCUCCUAAAGUGUAACGGAGGCGCCCAAAGGUUCCCUCAGAAUGGUUGGAAAUCAUUCGUAGAGUGCAAAGGCAUAAGGGAGCUUGACUGCGAGACCUACAAGUCGAGCAGGGACGAAAGUCGGGCUUAGUGAUCCGGUGGUUCCGCAUGGAAGGGCCAUCGCUCAACGGAUAAAAGCUACCCCGGGGAUAACAGGCUUAUCUCCCCCAAGAGUCCACAUCGACGGGGAGGUUUGGCACCUCGAUGUCGGCUCAUCGCAUCCUGGGGCUGUAGUCGGUCCCAAGGGUUGGGCUGUUCGCCCAUUAAAGCGGUACGCGAGCUGGGUUCAGAACGUCGUGAGACAGUUCGGUCCCUAUCCGUCGUGGGCGUAGGAAAUUUGAGAGGAGCUGUCCUUAGUACGAGAGGACCGGGAUGGACGCACCGCUGGUGUACCAGUUGUUCUGCCAAGGGCAUAGCUGGGUAGCUAUGUGCGGAAGGGAUAAGUGCUGAAAGCAUCUAAGCAUGAAGCCCCCCUCAAGAUGAGAUUUCCCAUAGCGUAAGCUAGUAAGAUCCCUGAAAGAUGAUCAGGUUGAUAGGUUCGAGGUGGAAGCAUGGUGACAUGUGGAGCUGACGAAUACUAAUAGAUCGAGGACUUAACCAU
rnacentral:rRNA from 1 species